AACAAGGCGUACCUGCGGACCUGCGGAAGGAUCAUUACCGAGUUAGGGUGUCGACUCUUCGCGCCCGACCUCCAACCCUUUGUCUACUUAACCAAACGUUGCUUCGGCAGGCCCGCCGGGACGCUUCACUGCGGCCUGGCCGCCGGGGGCUUCACGACCCCGGGCCCGCGCCUGUCGAUGGCCCCCCAUAAACUCUUGAUAAAACGUGUCGUCUGAGUCUUAUGAUUAAAAAUCAAAACA
rnacentral:misc_RNA from 1 species